CAAGGUUAAAACUCAAAUGAAUUGACGGGGGCCCGCACAAGCGGUGGAGCAUGUGGUUUAAUUCGAUGCAACGCGAAGAACCUUACCUGGUCUUGACAUCCACAGAACUUUCCAGAGAUGGAUUGGUGCCUUCGGGAACUGUGAGACAGGUGCUGCAUGGCUGUCGUCAGCUCGUGUUGUGAAAUGUUGGGUUAAGUCCCGCAACGAGCGCAACCCUUAUCCUUUGUUGCCAGCGGUCCGGCCGGGAACUCAAAGGAGACUGCCAGUGAUAAACUGGAGGAAGGUGGGGAUGACGUCAAGUCAUCAUGGCCCUUACGACCAGGGCUACACACGUGCUACAAUGGCGCAUACAAAGAGAAGCAAUCUCGCGAGAGCUAGCGGACCUCAUAAAGUGCGUCGUAGUCCGGAUUGGAGUCUGCAACUCGACUCCAUGAAGUCGGAAUCG
rnacentral:rRNA from 2 species